rnacentral:lncRNA from 1 species
CCGGGAUGGCCCAGCCCUGCGGUCCCUACCCAGCUCGUCAGCCCACAGCAAGGAUCCCUUCGGCGGCACGCACUGCUGUCCCCUUGCCUAAUCCUCAGGUCACCCCUAUGGAUGGUUGCUCUCAUCCUCCCAGCAGACAGCUGGGGAAACUGAGCAGCAUCUCCCUGAGGCCUGAGGAGUGGAUGGAUCCGCUCUGGCACUCACUGCCUGGCCCUUCUGGACCUGGACCACCUUGGUGGGACACUGUGCCACCAGACACCAACCUCAGCCACACUGUACUGAUAAAAUACAGAACUGGACCUGAUGGUGCAUGCCUGUAGUUCCAGUACUCUGGGAGGCUGAGGUAGGAGGAU